ACGUAGGGUGCAAGCGUUAAUCGGAAUUACUGGGCGUAAAGCGUGCGCAGGCGGUUUGUUAAGACAGUCGUGAAAUCCCCGGGCUUAACCUGGGAACUGCGAUUGUGACUGGCAAGCUAGAGUACGGCAGAGGGGGGUGGAAUUCCUGGUGUAGCAGUGAAAUGCGUAGAGAUCAGGAGGAACACCGAUGGCGAAGGCAGCCCCCUGGGCUAGUACUGACGCUCAUGCACGAAAGCGUGGGGAGCAAACAGGAUUAGAUACCCUGGUAGUCCACGCCCUAAACGAUGUCAAUUAGUUGUUGGUUCUUUAUUGAAUCAGUAACGUAGCUAACGCGUGAAAUUGACCGCCUGGGGAGUACGGUCGCAAGAUUA
rnacentral:rRNA from 1 species